GGAGAGGCUGCCUCCGCCUUACAUGCUACGGCAUUACUGCAGGUUCUUCAGGCUAAAUCACUGAGAGACCUGCAUGAGGGUGGUCACAAUCCGGAAGUUCUGAAAGAGCUCCAAACCACAACUGACCUCGUUACUCCGAGCGACGAAGGUCACCACGAGUUCUCUGGGUCGUGCAAUGUCCACACUUGUUGUCUAGGAGCAUCACCUCUGGCUGUGUCUGGUCGAUAUGAACAGCCUCUUCGGUGACGCAGUCGAGAACAUGGCUCAGAAGUUCUCGGCUGCACAGGAGCAGACUGAGGCGAUCCGACAUGGCCUCCACCCAUCCGCCGGCCGCAGUGCCCCAGCCUGUUCAUCGCUGAGGGUGGCCCCAUGCAUCAACCCCCGUUACUGCAUUGCAUCCGCAGCAGCCUUGAGCAAACAGUGCCAUGGAGCUGGUCAUAGGUAGGCCGCCCCGCCCUUCCAGGCCCACUUCAAACUUAAUGGUGAGUGGAAGAUGUGUGACCCAGAGUGAGAGGGAACUGCUCUUUGGGGGAUGGUGAAUGCAUAUCUCUCUCCCCUGUAGGAGGACCGGGUGGAGAAUCUGGUUUCCAACAACGUCAACAAAAGAGCAGUUUUCUCUGUCUCUGGGUCCCAAGAAGGCAUGGAGAGUCACAGAUGGACCAACACUGGAUCACACUCAUCCUCCUCUUUUGCCAGCAGGCAGCAGUGGGCGGUUCAAGAGCGUCAUCAAAGGCCCUACUCACGCACCCUCUGCCAAACCGUGGAACCAGAAGCACAGACUCCUGCAAACAGCAUUUCAAGCUGGAGUGAGCAACACCUGCCGCUCGCCCUUUGGAGUCCAGGCCAGCGGGACUUGAUUAAUCAUCUUACGACAGACUCUCCGUCAUCAUACCAGCUUUAAUUAUGAAGGCUAUAAAUAUAUUUUCUUGAACUGUAUAGAUCAUCUGCUCUGAGGCGUCCACAACAGGUGGAUAUUUUGUCUCGCCACCGGAGUCUCUGGUGUCAUUGAGUCAGGGUGAUGUAUGGCUAAAGUGCUGAUUUCUCGCUUGUGAAAUACUCCCUGUCUCACAUUACUUAUUGUCUGUAUCUGGC
ensembl:lncRNA